rnacentral:rRNA from 1 species
AGUGAACGCUGGCGGUAGGCCUAACACAUGCAAGUCGAACGGCAGCACAGUAAGAGCUUGCUCUUACGGGUGGCGAGUGGCGGACGGGUGAGGAAUACAUCGGAAUCUACUUUUUCGUGGGGGAUAACGUAGGGAAACUUACGCUAAUACCGCAUACGACCUACGGGUGAAAGCAGGGGAUCUUCGGACCUUGCGCGAUUGAAUGAGCCGAUGUCGGAUUAGCUAGUUGGCGGGGUAAAGGCCCACCAAGGCGACGAUCCGUAGCUGGUCUGAGAGGAUGGUCAGCAACACUGGAACUGAGACACGGUCCAGACUCCUACGGGAGGCAGCAGUUGGGAAUAUUGGACAAUGGGCGCAAGCCUGAUCCAGCCAUACCGCGUGGGUGAAGAAGGCCUUCGGGUUGUAAAGCCCUUUUGUUGGGAAAGAAAAGCAGCAGGUUAAUACCCCGCUGUUCUGACGGUACCCAAAGAGAAAGCUCCGGCUAACUUCGUG